GAUGAACGCGGCGGCGUGCUAACACAUGCAAGUCGAACGGAUGCUUUCGGGCAUUAGUGGCGCACGGGUGAGUAACACGUGGCUGACCUACCUCAAAGUAGGGGAUAACGUUCCGAAAGGAAUGCUAAUACCCUAUAAGCUCCCGAUGGUUAGAGGAUUGGGAGAAAAGUUCCGGCGCUUUGAGAGGGGGCUGCGGGCCAUCAGCUAGUUGGUGAGGUAACGGCUCACCAAGGCGACGACGGCUAGGGGGCCUGAGAGGGUGACCCCCCACACUGGAACUGAGAGACGGUCCAGACUCCUACGGGAGGCAGCAGUGAGGAAUAUUGCACAAUGGGCGCAAGCCUGAUGCAGCGACGCCGCGUGGGUGAUGAAGGCUUUCGGGUCGUAAAGCCCUUUUCUAGGUGACGAGAAUGGACGGUAGCCUAGGAAUAAGUGUCGGCUAACUACGUGCCAGCAGCCGCGGUAAAACGUAGGACACAAGCGUUAUCCGGAGUUACUGGGCGUAAAGGGCGUGUAGGCGGAUCGGUAAGUCUACUCUGAAAGCUCCUGGCUAAACUGGGAGAGGCGAGUGGAGACUGUCGGUCUAGAGUGAGGAAGAGGAAAGUGGAAUUCCGCGUGUAGUGGUGAAAUGCGUAGAGAUGCGGAGGAACACCAGUGGCGAAAGCGGCUUUCUGGUCCUUAACUGACGCUGAGGCGCGAAAGCAUGGGGAGCGAACGGGAUUAGAAACCCCGGUAGUCCAUGCCGUAAACGAUGUUCACUAAACGUUCGUUUCCCGCGAGGGNAAGUGGGUGUUGAAGCUAACGCAGUAAGUGAACCGCCUGGGGAGUACGGUCGCAAGGCUAA
rnacentral:rRNA from 1 species